GAAAAAUGGAAGGGGCGAGAAAGAAAUAGCGCCUGCAGGAAAGUAUAUAGUAUACACGCGCAUUUAUAGUAUACACGCGCAUUAACUAUGAUUAUGCAUACUGUUGUGAAACCAGAUCUGUCAUUGGGAAAACCAUUAGUUGCGUCUAAUCACUGAUUGGCUUGUUUUUUAAUGGGCGGGACUUGGGCAGAUGGGAAAACAUAUGGCUUUCCUGCAGGCGCUAUUUCUUUCUCGCCCCUUCCAUUUUUC